rnacentral:rRNA from 2 species
GGAUGCGAUCAUACCAGUACUAGAGCACCGGAUCCCAUCAGAACUCCGAAGUUAAGCGUGCUUGGGCGAGAGUUGUACUAGGAUGGGUGACCUCCUGGGAAGUCCUCGUGUUGCAUUCC